rnacentral:rRNA from 1 species
GUCGAGGGGCAGCACGGGUAGCANUAUCUGGUGGCGACCGGCGCACGGGUUGCGUAACACGAUAUACAAUCUACCCUUAACAGGGGGAUAGCCCUCCGAAAGGAGGAUUAAUACCCCAUAAUAAAUUGAAUGGCAUCAUUUGAUUUUGAAAGUUCCGACGGUUAAGGAUGAGUAUGCGUCUGAUUAGCUAGUUGGUGAGGUAAAGGCUCACCAAGGCAACGAUCAGUAGGGGAUCUGAGAGGACUACCCCCCACACUGGUACUGAGACACGGACCAGACUCCUACGGGAGGCAGCAGUAAGGAAUAUCGGUCAAUGGAGGCAACUCUGAACCAGCCAUGCCGCGUGCAGGAAGACGGCCCUAUGGGUUGUAAACUGCUUUUGUACGGGAGAAAACCCUUUCACGUGUGAGAGGUUGAUAGUACCGUAAGAAUAAGCAUCGGCUAACUUCGUGCCAGCAGCCGCGGUAAGACGAAGGAUGCAAGCGUUAUCCGGACUCAUUGGGUUUAAAGGGAGCGUAGGUGGACUUGUAAGUCAGUGGUGAAAUCUCUCAGCUUAACUGAGAAACUGCCAUUGAUACUGCAGGUCUUGAGUACAGAUGAUGUGGGCGGAAUAUGACAUGUAGUGGUGAAAUACUUAGAUAUGUCAUAGAACACCGAUUGCGAAGGCAGCUCACAAAACUGUAACUGACACUGAGGCUCGAAAGUGCGGGGAUCAAACAGGAUUAGAUACCCUGGUAGUCCGCACCGUAAACGAUGAUUACUCGUUGUUAGCGAUAUGACAGUUAGCGACCAAGCGAAAGCGAUAAGUAAUCCACCUGGGGAGUACGCCGGCNACAGUGAAACUCAAAAGGAAUUGACG